UAGGGAAUCUUCCGCAAUGGACGAAAGUCUGACGGAGCAACGCCGCGUGAGUGAAGAAGGAUUUCGGUUCGUAAAACUCUGUUGUUAGGGAAGAAAAAAUGUAUAGUAACUAUAUACAAAAGAGACGGUACCUAACCAGAAAGCCACGGCUAACUACGUGCCAGCAGCCGCGGUAAUACGUAGGUGGCAAGCGUUGUCCGGAAUUAUUGGGCGUAAAGCGCGCGCAGGUGGUUUAGAAAGUCUGAUGUGAAAGCCCACGGCUCAACCGUGGAGGGUCAUUGGAAACUAAUAAACUUGAGUGCAGGAGAGAAAAGUGGAAUUCCUAGUGUAGCGUUGAAAUGCGUAGAGAUUAGGAGGAACACCGGUGGCGAAAGCGACUUUCUGGACUUUUACUGACGCUCAGGUACGAAAGCGUGGGGAGCAAACAGG
rnacentral:rRNA from 1 species